rnacentral:rRNA from 1 species
AUUGAACGCUGGCGGCAUGCUUUACACAUGCAAGUCGAACGGCAGCGCGGGCUUCGGCCUGGCGGCGAGUGGCGAACGGGUGAGUAAUGCAUCGGAACGUGCCCAGUAGUGGGGGAUAGCCCGGCGAAAGCCGGAUUAAUACCGCAUACGACCUGAGGGUGAAAGCGGGGGACCGAAAGGCCUCGCGCUAUUGGAGCGGCCGAUGUCGGAUUAGCUAGUUGGUGGGGUAAAGGCUUACCAAGGCGACGAUCCGUAGCUGGUCUGAGAGGACGACCAGCCACACUGGGACUGAGACACGGCCCAGACUCCUACGGGAGGCAGCAGUGGGGAAUUUUGGACAAUGGGGGCAAUCCUGAUCCAGCCAUGCCGCGUGCGGGAAGAAGGCCUUCGGGUUGUAAACCGCUUUUGUUCGGGAAGAAAUCCUCUGGGCUAAUACCCCGGGGGGAUGACGGUACCGGAAGAAUAAGCACCGGCUAACUACGUG